GAUUUCAGAUGAAAAAGUCAUCAACAACAAAGUUGUAUAACUCAUCAAGAUCUAUAUAACUUCUAUCUUGGUCAUUUUCUUCAUCCGACAAAGUGAUCGUAACAUUUUCAUAAAAUUUAUAUAUAUAUAUAUAUAUCUCUAUAGUUUAUAAAACUAUAUAAGAUAUGUACAUUUUGUGAACAAUGUUACAAAUAACUUUGUCGAAUGAAGAAAUGACCAAAAUAGAAGUUAUAGAUCUUGAUGAGUUAUACAACUUUGUUGUUGAUGACUUUUUCAGUUUAAAUC
rnacentral:pre_miRNA from 1 species